CUGAAGCAUUGACAUUAAAUAUUGACAGCGGCAAUUUUCAAUUAUCUCGAGCGCGUCUUGACACAAAUGUAACCCAACUUCUUGACUUGGCAAACAGACGGGGCGGUCCAUCAGCUCAAAGCAACCCAGUUAAUUAGAGCCGCGGGGUCAUUGAGUCAACAAUGGCGUCGCUUUAAAAGCCAUUCUAUCGCCAGGGCACUGCGAGUCGGACACCACGCUACUUGUACAAAUGAGAAUGUGGCCCAUUAUAUUUCUGGUCAUUGCAGCUGUCCAGGUUCACAUUCCCGUUGAGUGUCUGCCCCUGCCCCCUGGCAAGGGGGCAUCUGUAGAUGCCAAACUUCCUUCGAUUUCGUCAGUUCCCGGGCAGCAGAUGAAUCCCCUCAACGCCGAGGACAUUACAGUAUUCACCAACAUGUUCCUAAGCCUAUUCAGAGGAAUAGGCGAUUGGCGGAAUCAGGUGGCCGCAGAAACCGUUCAGAGUGUGUGGCAGAGUCCACCCAUUGUGGGCCUCAGUCACCGCCUCUUCGCCGCCUAGCAUUGGCUUUUUGUAAUGCGAUCCGCAACAGUUCUCGCUGAACAAACAAUAAAAACGAAGUGCUUAAAGACAAGCCUCUGUUGCGUCUGGUUUUGAUUUCGUUCACCCUCAGAAUGGAGCUGUAUAUAAAGAAAGCGUUAGUCCAGUUGCAUUAGUCAAGCGAUCCACAUGAAUGCCACCGGCUUACUUUUGCUGAUGGGACUGGCGUUGUCUCUGCAACUUAUCCUUAUGGGACCUACGAGCUGUGCUCCCAUGUCCGACGAGCUGGAAUCGCCUUCGUCGAUCAAGGAGAUAGGCGGCUUAGCGGCGUUUGCCUACACCCGCAAAAAAGUGGCAAAGACACCACCCAAGACAAACCUUAUAAUGCCUCCUUCAAAAAAUAUGACACGGCGCCAGCGUAUGGAAUACGCCGACGACUGCGAGCCACUGGGAAUGGUGUGCAAAUUCGCCGAACAGUGCUGCACCAAAGCCUGUAUGGUGGCCACAAGGCGGUGCGCCUUCGUCGGAAGUUGAGACAUAAGAAAUUAUUUUGUUGGCCCGAUCUUAGCCAUUAAACCAUCGAUUAUAGCCAGAGGUGGAGCAGUAACGUAAAUCCCUGUUAUUGUUCGUUGUUUGCAAUGCCCACUGUAUCAAAUUGUCAUCUACAUACAUACAUAUUACAUAUAUUUGCUUACUCACGGCAACAGCCUCGAUCUGACCCCGUCUUGGAUCGAGGUAACCCUGUAUUGCAUUUUAAACACCACAAUGAACUUUGCACAUACUAAACAGAACGAUCAUCGGACCUGUAUUAAAAACACCAAACUGAAAAAUCUCAGUAGCGCAACAUAGUAACAGAUUUGUGUGAUAAAUAUACAACAGCCUUGAGCAUU
rnacentral:misc_RNA from 1 species